GACGAACGCUGGCGGCGUGCCUAACACAUGCAAGUCGAGCGGAGAAAGUUUGAGUUUACUUAAACUUUCUUAGCGGCGGACGGGUGAGUAACACGUGGGUAAUCUACCGUAAGGAGGGGGAUAACACAGAGAAAUCUGUGCUAAUACCGCAUAAUGCAUUUUGACUGCAUGGUUGAAAUGCCAAAGGAAUUCCGCCUUAUGAUGAACCCGCGGCGCAUUAGCUAGUUGGUGGGGUAAAGGCCUACCAAGGCGACGAUGCGUAGCCGACCUGAGAGGGUGAUCGGCCACAUUGGAACUGAGACACGGUCCAGACUCCUACGGGAGGCAGCAGUGGGGAAUAUUGCACAAUGGGGGAAACCCUGAUGCAGCAACGCCGCGUGAGUGAUGAAGGCCUUCGGGUUGUAAAGCUCUGUCUUCGCUGACGAAGUAUGACGGUAAGCGAGGAGGAAGCCACGGCUAACUACGUGCCAGCAGCCGCGGUAACAC
rnacentral:rRNA from 1 species